CGAGAAACCUAUGAGAAAUGCUAGUCGGUCCAUGGUAGACCACGAGAAACCAAUGAAAAAUGGGCGCUCGGUCCAUGCACCCGCCCAUGCACCGCUCGGUCUACUAUGGAUCGGGAUAUCCGCACGUCUGCUCCCGUACGCACUCAUGUGGGCCUGGGCUACGCAUCGCACGUGCCCGUGCAUCUGCGGCCGGCAGCGCCACCACUGCC
rnacentral:lncRNA from 1 species